UACACCAACCAUUAGGGUUUCUUAAUGGCUUGGAUUUGGAGGUUUGCCAGUCUGACUGGCUCCUCUUAAAGGAGUUAGCAAGUUUAACUAUUACUAUCUGGCGUAAUAAGUUUCGCUGGAAUGGUAUUGUGAAGCGUGCUUCUAAUCGUCUGUUAUGGACAAUUAUUAUUGAC
rnacentral:misc_RNA from 1 species